rnacentral:rRNA from 1 species
GUGGGGAAUAUUGGACAAUGGGGGCAACCCUGAUCCAGCCAUGCCGCGUGUGUGAAGAAGGCCUUCGGGUUGUAAAGCACUUUCAGAGGUGAGGAAAGGUGAGUGGUUAAUACCCGCUUACUGUGACGUUAGCCUCAGAAGAAGCACCGGCUAACUCCGUGCCAGCAGCCGCGGUAAUACGGAGGGUGCGAGCGUUAAUCGGAAUAACUGGGCGUAAAGCGCGCGUAGGUGGUUGAGUCAGUCAGAUGUGAAAGCCCCGGGCUUAACCUGGGAAUUGCACCUGAUACUGCUUGACUAGAGUACGGUAGAGGGCAGUGGAAUUUCCUGUGUAGCGGUGAAAUGCGUAGAUAUAGGAAGGAACACCAGUGGCGAAGGCGACUGCCUGGACCGAUACUGACACUGAGGUGCGAAAGCGUGGGUAGCAA